rfam:Planctomycetes bacterium GWB2_41_19 gwb2_scaffold_23195, whole genome shotgun sequence.
GAGAGCCGUAUGCGGGAGUCCCGCCUGUAUGGUUCGGAGGGAGGGGGAGGAGGUAAAAGCCUUCCCUAUCCCCU